rnacentral:rRNA from 1 species
UACGGAGGGGACUAGCGUUGUUCGGAAUUACUGGGCGUAAAGCGCACGUAGGCGGAUUUGUAAGUCAGGGGUGAAAUCCCGGGGCUCAACCUCGGAACUGCAUUUGUGACUGCACGGCUGGAGUGCGGCAGAGGGGGAUGGAAUUCCGCGUGUAGCAGUGAAAUGCGUAGAUAUGCGGAGGAACACCGAUGGCGAAGGCGGGUCUCUGGGCCGAUACUGACGCUGAGGAGCGAAAGCCAGGGGAGCGAACGGG